GAGUGAAGCUGCUUUGGCGUAUCCUGGUUCAGGAUGCCUCUGUCCCUCUGUGAGAAGCAGGGUUCCACUUCAUUAUCUCCAUAAUCAAACCUGGGGCUGCAUAAGAAGAGCACAACCACUCUCCAAGUGAUUUAACAGGAUGCUUUAAUGAUGUAUUGAGAAUGAACAUUGAUCCCAGGUGAGCAAAGCAAGGCUUAAAGAGCUAAGGAGACUGUGGGAAUGAAGGUUUCGAAGUGGUCUGAAUGGAGAAAGAAGCGGUGGGAGAGCUGAGUCAUCAUGCAGCACACGGCAAGGUAGCAGAAAACCCUGGAGAACAACAGCAGCCUGCCCCAGAGUCAGCCGUGAGCGCUGAUUUAGUUUCAGGAAAACAAUAACACUUUGUCCCAUUAAAUUAAUGUUGUUAAUUUGAAGUUUAU
rnacentral:lncRNA from 1 species